AUAUCGUAGUCCAAAGAGCAUCCGCGUGGCAAUGGGUGGGCUCAUCCUCCUGGUUGUAAUCACCGUCGACGUCCUCGUCCUCCAGUCGUCGUCCUACUGCAAUGUAAAUAAAUAACAACACCAGAAAAUCACAAAGUAAUGACAUUUUUUGCAAGGUACAGAGCAAUGACUGAUACGAUCAAAUAUCAAUAAACAUCAGCAGAGUCAAGUAUGCAUGCCAAUGUCAUUAGCAAAGUACAGAGUAAUGACUGACAUAAUCAAAAUGUCAA
rnacentral:lncRNA from 1 species